rnacentral:miRNA from 1 species
AAGGGAACUUCUUCUCGCUGA